AUGCCUUGCAACCUCUGGAAUCGGGAUGUUCAUAAUGACCUUGGAAACCAUGUGAAGACAGAAGAGCCACAAAAUGGAAGGAGAACCAACCAGAACACACAUUUUGGACUUUAUGUGAGAAGUAUACUCCUAUUAAGUUUGAACCAUUUUUAUUUUCUGGUUUUGUUUGUUAGAACAGGUAAAAUUACCUGGACCAAUCUCUUAUCUCCUUUCUCCCUCAACACCAUGCUCAGGACUCAGUCCUUAGAUCUCUUCUCUUCCUGUGCUUUCUAUUAUGAUUUCAUCCAGGCUCGUACCUCCAGCCUUUCAUAUUUUUGUCAGCUUCAUCCUUCCAGUUGUUCAGACUAAAAACCCUUCUUGAACCCCACCUGAUCAGUCAAUGAAUCUCAUUGGCUCUACCUUCAAAAUAUAUCCAGAGCUGCCUGAGUGGCUCAGUUGGUUAAUCAUCUAACUCUUGAUUUCAGCUCAGGUCAUGAUCUCAGGGUCAUGAGAUCGAGCCCCAGGUGGGACUCCACACUCAGCAGGAAGUCUGUUUGGGAUUCUCUCUCCCUCCCCCCUCCGCCUCCUCUAUAAACAAACAAACAAACAAAUAUUAAAAAUAUAUCCAAUGUCUGUCCCCAUCUCACUAUCUCCACAGAGAUCAUGCUGGUCUACUAGCUGCACCUGGAAUGCUGCAAGAACCUCUUACUGGUUACCCCACUUCUGCUCUUGCCUUUUCCUGUCUGUCCUAAAGCUAGUCAACAAAAUGACUCAGUUAGAAUGAAAGUCAGAUAGUAUCACUCCUCUUCCCAAAACCUUUUGGCUUUGCAUCCCACUUUCUAAAAACACAGGAGUUUUACAAUGGCUUACAAGUCCUUGCAUGAAGUGCCCAUUCCUUCUUGAACUUCAUUUCCUAUACUCUCCAUCUCAAUGUUCCUGCCAUGCUGGACUCCUCAUAGCCGCUUUUUCACAGUCCCUCCAUGCAGCCUCUUUUCUUUCUGUUUCUUCCCUCAGAUGGUCCCAGGGCCUCCACCCAUUAUCUUCUGGACUCACAUAUCACCUUGUCAGUGAGGUUUCCAUAACCACCCAUUUAAGUUGCACCCAUCCCCUCAUGCUCACUUCUCUCCUUUCCUAUCCAGUCUUUGGCCACAACAGUUAUCAUCAUCAUGCUUACAAUUCAUUUGAUUAAAUUGUCUUAUUUCUUUGGUCUUCCCUCCCUAGGAUUUAGCUCAAUGCAGGCAGGGAUUUUUGUUUGUUUUGCUCUGUGCUGUAUUUCAGCUCCCAGGACAGGCCGGCACACACCAGAGUGUUCAAGAAAUGCUGAUGGAAUGAAUGAGUGAAUUUUCCGCACUUCUUUUAAACCAGACAGGAGUAUCUAAGUUUUAAAGUGCUUCUUAAAAACCAGAUUGUAAGUGAAAGAAAGCAAGGACAAUAAGAGCAGGAAAGAGAAAGACAGGGAUGGCUUCACACUCUAACAGAAAAUACGCUGCACCAUUACCAACCAGCAUUUUCACAGCCCUCAAAAUUGAAUCCAUCCCAAUAAUCAUGCUGACAGAGCCAUUCGUAGAAGAUUGGGGUCUUAUGACCAGCAUUCCAAGAACCCAUGGCAAGCAGGCACUCAAAGCUAGUGCUGUUAGAUUUAACAUAAAAUAUACUAAACCAAGUGUGUUUUUAUCUUAAUAAUAUUACCAAGUGGUUAUAAUUUUAACAUGUUUUAAAACAUAUUUAGAUUUCUCUUUGUAAAAAUUCUGUAUAUGUAAUUUGGAAAAAGUAGAAAAGAAUAAAGAAAAAAAGAGCGAAAGAGAAAGAAAGUUGGAAAGGGAGGAACAGCCAUAGUCACAAAGACAUAUAUAGUUAACAUACUGAUGCAUGGCCUCCCAUCUUUUUUCUUUACAUUUGUAUUUAGCAAUCUAUCUGCUCAAUGUGGGGCUCAAACUCACCACCCUGAGAUCAGGAGCCCCAUGCUUUAUGGACUGAGCCCGCCAGAUGCCCCUUUUUUCUUAACGUUAAAAGGAAGUCAUCUUUGAAUGACCUUAAUAA
rnacentral:lncRNA from 1 species